ACGAACGCUGGCGGCGUGCCUAAUACAUGCAAGUAGAACGCACAGUUUAUACCGUAGCUUGCUACACCAUAGACUGUGAGUUGCGAACGGGUGAGUAACGCGUAGGUAACCUGCCUGGUAGCGGGGGAUAACUAUUGGAAACGAUAGCUAAUACCGCAUAAUAUUAAUUAUUGCAUGAUAAUUAAUUGAAAGGUGCAAUUGCACCACUACCAGAUGGACCUGCGUUGUAUUAGCUAGUAGGUGAGGUAACGGCUCACCUAGGCGACGAUACAUAGCCGACCUGAGAGGGUGAUCGGCCACACUGGGACUGAGACACGGCCCAGACUCCUACGGGAGGCAGCAGUAGGGAAUCUUCAGCAAUGGACGAAAGUCUGACCGAGCAACGCCGCGUGAGUGAAGAAGGAUUUCGGAUCGUAAAGCUCUGUUGUAAGGGAAGAACGGGUGUGAGAGUGGAAAGUUCACACUGUGACGGUAUCCUACCAGAAAGGGACGGCUAACUACGUG
rnacentral:rRNA from 1 species